rnacentral:rRNA from 1 species
GACAAACGCUGGCGGCGUGCCUAACACAUGCAAGUCGAGCGAUGAAACUCCUUCGGGAGUGGAUUAGCGGCGGACGGGUGAGUAACACGUGGGUAACCUGCCUCAUAGAGAGGGAUAGCCUUCCGAAAGGAAGAUUAAUACCUCAUAAGAUUGUAGUUUCGCAUGAAACGGCAAUAAAAGGAGCAAUCCGCUAUGAGAUGGACCCGCGUCGCAUUAGCUAGUUGGUAAGGUAAUGGCUUACCAAGGCGACGAUGCGUAGCCGACCUGAGAGGGUGAGCGGCCACAUUGGGACUGAGACACGGCCCAGACUCCUACGGGAGGCAGCAGUGGGGAAUAUUGCACAAUGGGGGAAACCCUGAUGCAGCAACGCCGCGUGAGUGAUGACGGUCUUCGGAUUGUAAAACUCUGUCUUUGGGGACGAUAAUGACGGUACCCAAGGAGGAAGCCACGGCUAACUACGUGCCAGCAGCCGCCGUAAAAC